AAAGCAGCACUUGCAAGUCCUUUUUCCUUCCUGGUGGCUGCAUGCUAGCUGUGUCCGUGCAGAAGCUGUGACCCUUCAAGGGAAAGAAGAAGAAUUUCUACUCCAGCUACAAGAAGAUGCCUGAAGAAUCUGACAAAAGAGGAGGAAAGAAAGUGAAGGGCAAGCAAAGUGUUGUGGACAUACAUGAAAAGCAGCGACAGAGCGAGUUUGGGAAUUCUGGAUCUCCAGGGGUGGCAGAUGCUGCUGGAUCAGAUACUGCGAUUAUAGUAAUGUGGAAAUGACUUUGUGCUCCAUGCAGCAAUUGAACGUACAACCAAAAUCUUGCAUCUCUUUGGUAGAUGGGGCUAGCGCUGCAGAGAGUUGCUGGCAAUGUGGCAGAAGAGGUGGACACCUGGCUGGAGACCCAGGGACAGGCAUGGGGAUGUCCUCUGGGAAUUUGGAGCCGGACCUGCAGCCCACUCUUGGUAGAAGCAAAGUGCCCAAACAUCGGUAAUUUCCCCCUACUAAAGUGGGGUAACAGGACUGAAAUGUAGCAUGACUUAAAAUCCUGGACUCUGACCUGGAUAAUAAAAACAACCUGCUUGAUGGAGUCUGACUAAUCUCCCCCGCGCUGAAAUUCUCAGUAAAACUGAAACACAUUGACUCUGGAAGGAAUGGAUGAGACUCAGGU